AGAACGAACGCUGGCGGCAUGCCUAACACAUGCAAGUCGAACGAGACCUUCGGGUCUAGUGGCGCACGGGUGCGUAACGCGUGGGAAUCUGCCCUUGGGUUCGGGAUAACAGUUGGAAACGACUGCUAAUACCGGAUGAUGACUUCGGUCCAAAGAUUUAUCGCCCAGGGAUGAGCCCGCGUAGGAUUAGCUAGUUGGUGAGGUAAAGGCUCACCAAGGCGACGAUCCUUAGCUGGUCUGAGAGGAUGAUCAGCCACACGUGGGACUGAGACACGGCCCAGACCU
rnacentral:rRNA from 1 species